UACGUAGGGUGCAAGCGUUGUCCGGAAUUAUUGGGCGUAAAGGGCUCGUAGGCGGUCUGUCACGUCGGGAGUGAAAACUCGGGGCUUAACCCCGAGCCUGCUUCCGAUACGGGCAGACUAGAGGUAUGCAGGGGAGAAUGGAAUUCCUGGUGUAGCGGUGAAAUUCGUAGAUAUUCGGAAGAACACCAGUGGCGAAGGCGACUAACUGGACAUGUAUUGACGCUGAGGUGCGAAAGCGUGGGGAGCAAACAGG
rnacentral:rRNA from 1 species